CACAAAGGCUUGGUCCUGACUUUGCCAUCAACUUUAACUAAACUUACACAUGCGAGUAUCCGCACUCCCGUGAGAAUGCCCUACAGUUUCCUGGAUGGAAACAAGGAGCUGGUAUCAGGCACAAUACUUUUAGCCCACGACGCCUUGCUAAGCCACACCCCCAAGGGAAUUCAGCAGUGAUAAAUAUUAAGCUAUGAGUGAAAACUUGACUUAGUUAGUGUUAACAGGGCCGGUAAAUCUCGUGCCAGCCACCGCGGUUAUACGAGAGACCCAAGUCGAUGGCUUUCGGCGUAAAGAGUGGUUAAGAUUCAACUAAAACUAAAGCCAAACGACUUCAAAGCUGUCAUACGCACAUGAAGACAUGAAACCCAACCACGAAAGUGGCUUUAAACUUCUGAUUCCACGAAAGCUAUGGUACAAACUGGGAUUAGAUACCCCACUAUGCCUAGCCAUAAACAUAGAUAAUCACGUACUUUUUUAUCCGCCCGGGUACUACGAGCAUCAGCUUAAAACCCAAAGGACUUGGCGGUGCUUUAGAUCCACCUAGAGGAGCCUGUUCUAGAACCGAUAAUCCCCGUUAAACCUCACCUUUCCUUGCCUAGUCCGCCUAUAUACCGCCGUCGUCAGCUUACUCUGUGAAGAAUUUGUAGUAAGCACAAUCGGCACAGCCCAAAACGUCAGGUCGAGGUGUAGCGUAUGGAAAGGGAAGAAAUGGGCUACAUUCAAUAGCAAUAGUGUACACGAAUAAUGUUUUGAAAGAGACAAUUGAAGGAGGAUUUAGUAGUAAGCAUGGGAAUAGAGCGCCCUGCUGAAACCGGCCCUGAAGCGCGCACACACCGCCCGUCACUCUCCCCAAGCUAACACAAGCUAAUCACUAAUAAGUAAUAACUGUAAAGGGGAGGCAAGUCGUAACAUGGUAAGCGUACCGGAAGGUGCGCUUG
rnacentral:ncRNA from 1 species